UCUCCUGGAUUAGCAUAUCAUUAAGGGAAGGAAAAGAAACUAACUAGGAUUCCGUUAGUAGUGGCGAAUGAACACGGAAGAGCUCCAAUGGUAAAGCCUAAGUGCUGUUGUAAUGUAGCCUCCGAAAACAUUCUGGAAAGGAUGACCACAGUGGGUGAUAGUCCCAGAGGAGGAUGUAAAGAAUAGAGUAGUGCUGCUUGGUAGUGCAGUAUGAAGAGGAGGUAGAAACUUCUAAAGCUAAAUACAGACGGAUACCGAUAGAGAAGAAGUAGUGCGAACGAAAGUUGAAAAGAUCUCAUCUAGAGAAUGAAAAGUGAAAGUAUUAGGGCGUAAGCUGAUGACAUCAGACCCGUAUUGAAACACGGACCAAGGAGACUUUGAGUAUAGCGAGGCGAAGGAUGUGAAGUCCCCACCCGCGAGAAAUCUACAAGUUAUACUGAUAGGACCCGAAAGGCAGUGAACUAUACCUGCUCUGCUUGACGCCACGGCAAACCGUGGUUGAGGAGCUAAGUCGUAUUGAUGUUCAACUCAUUGACAGGAAGUGGGUAUAGGGGCGAAAGACCAAUCGAACUGCCUGGUAGCUGGUUCCGGCCGAAAUGUCUCUCAGGACAGCGGUGUCUGCGAAUAGGAAGAUGCGGUAGAGAGGAUGUCGACCUUGUCAACAAACUCCGAAUGCGUCAUUGUGUUGCGAUUGCAUCCAACAUGAUCAUCUAUAAGACACUAGUGGGCGCCUUGUGGUAAGCAUGCGGCGCAAAAAGGGAUGAACCUAGCAGUGGGGUAAGGUGCCUAAAGGAAAACAAAGAGAAAAAGCGUUUGGCAGAUUAGGACAGUGGGGCGGUGGCCAUGGAGGUCGGCAUCCGCUAAGAAACGUGUUACAACGUACCCACCGAAUCUGCGAAUGCUGAAAAUGGAUGGCGCUUAUUUCCAUACCGAGCCCCACAUGGUACAGCCACGUAGGCCGGCACGUGUGCAUCUGAGAAGACCCGCCGUGAGGUGUGUUGGAGAUGUUCACGGAGCAGAUCUUGGAAGUAGUAGCAUCAUUUGUAUGUGCCAAUGGAGGCGGGUUUGUCCUUUUAAUAGAAGGAAGUGAUACGAGCCUAGUAAAAGGGAAUAUAGUAGAUAUUCUAUAUAGAUGUACCUAUGUGGCGACACGACAGCGACCCCACGACGUGGCCGGUGAAAAUUUUCCGGGCACCCAAAUCUUUGAACGUCCCCCUGAAAUAAAAACAAUUGGCCGGGAAAAUGAAGGACUUCUUCAUCCGAACGCAAAGGGACUCCAGGGGAAAACCCAAGGUA
rnacentral:ncRNA from 1 species